rnacentral:rRNA from 1 species
CGGCGUGCUUAACACAUGCAAGUCGAACGCGAAAGGGACUUCGGCCCUGAGUAAAGUGGCGCACGGGUGAGUAACGCGUAGAUAACCUGUCUUCAUGUCUGGAAUAAUACGCCGAAAGGGGUACUAAUACCGGAUAUUCUUGCUUUUCAUAAGUUAUGCAAGCAAAGGUGGCCUCUGCAUAUGCUACUGCAUGAAGAGGGGUCUGCGUACCAUUAGCUAGUAGGUGGGGUAAUGGCCUACCUAGGCGACGAUGGUUAGCGGGUCUGAGAGGAUGAUCCGCCACACUGGCACUGGAACACGGGCCAGACUCCUACGGGAGGCAGCAGUGAGGAAUAUUGCGCAAUGGGGGAAACCCUGACGCAGCGACGCCGCGUGAGUGAAGGAAGGCCUUCGGGUCGUAAAGCUCUGUCAAGAGGAAAGAAGUGUACAAUGGCUAAUACCUGUUGUAUUUGACGGUACCUCUAAAGGAAGCACCGGCUAACUCCGUGCCAGCAGCGGC